rnacentral:lncRNA from 1 species
CGCCUACUUCUGGAUCUGGAAUAUAAAAAGGCGCAGGUUGAUGUUCUUGGCCGCCAGCAGCUUGUUGCACUCCACCGAGUCCACGAUGGGGAGCGGCAUGUACUCCGUCUCAUUGUUCUCAUUGGUAAAGACAAAGUGGUAGAUGACCGGCUUGAUCUUGACGUCGUCGUAGGGCCCCUCGAGGAGGAGGAAGGAGCACUCGAGCGGCGAGUUGACCUUGCUCUUGAGGAUGAGCUGGAAGGACAGGGUGCGCUUGCAGGAGAGGUUGGGGUUGCGCUCCGAGUCGUUGACGCGCGCCUUCAGCACCCAGGUUUGGUUGAGGACCGUCAGGCGCGGCGUCUCGUAGUACAGCCGCGUGAUGAAGUCGUCCGUGCGGUACGGGCGGAACUGCACCUCUGGGGGGGGGGGGGGGGGGGGGCCAGGGGGGGAGAGGGGGGUUAGUGGUGGUACUGGAAGGCCGUGAUGGGGUCACCCCGGAGAUUUGGGGGUCAUCGGGGGCACCCCGAAGUCAUGGGGGUCCUGGGGGGCUACCCCAGAGCCAUGGGGGUCCUUGGGGGCACCCCAAAGUCAUGGGGGUCCUCAGGGCUACCCCUGACCCAUGGUGGUCCCGGGGGUCACCCCAAAGUCAUAGGGGUCUUUGGGGGGCUACCCCGGAGCCAUGGUGGUCUUGGGGGCACUGCAAAGUCAUGGUGGAACCAGGGGGCACCCCAAAGUCAUGGUGGGCCUGGGGGGACCCCAGAGCCAUGGGGGUCCUGGGGGACAACCCUGGAGCCAUGGUGGUCCUGGGGGGCAUCCUAAAGUCAAGCUGGUCUUUGGGGGGCUACCCCAAAGUCAUGGGGGUCCUUGGGGGCUACCCCAAAGUCACAGUGGUCUCAGGUGGCACCCCAAAGUCACGGUAGUCCUGGGGGGCUACCCCAAAAUCAUGGGGGUCCCAG